GACGAACGCUGGCGGCGUGCUUAACACAUGCAAGUCGAACGAAGUGGCGAACGGGUGAGUAACGCGUAAUCAACCUGCACUUCAGCGGGGGACAACAGUUAGCAACGACUGCUAAUACCGCAUACUGAAGGAGGGGAUUGCGUCUGAUUAGCUCGUUGGGGGGGGAACGGCCCCACAAGGCGAUGAUCAGUAGCCGGUCUGGGAGGGAGAACGGCCAAAAUGGGACCGAGACACGGGCCAGACUCCUACGGGAGGCAGCAGUGGGGAAACUUCCGCAAAGGACGAAAGUCUGACGGAGCAACGCCGGGUGAGUGAUGACGGCCUUCGGGUUGUAAAACUCUGUUAAUCGGGACGCGGUACCGGAAUAGAAAGCCACGGCUAACUACGUGCCAGCAGCCGCGGUAAUAC
rnacentral:rRNA from 1 species